rnacentral:lncRNA from 1 species
ACAAGUACCUUCGGCACAAGUACUUUACUUUGUGUUUUGAUGAUCUAACAUCCAGAAAAGAAACCUAUUGCACAUUUACAAGACCUUGAGAUCACAAAGUUCUAGUUUGGGAUCCAGCCUUUAGGAAAGCAAGGAAACUUCUAGGAGCUGACCAUAGAAGAGCUGGUUGGAAAUCUGAAGACCUAUGAGAUGAAGAGGAAGAUAGACAAUGAAAGAAGAGAACCAAAGAAAGAAAGAAUCUGGUACUCAAAGCUGAUAAUAAUAACUCAAGUGCAGAAGAGAGGAAGGAACGACUGAGAUAACAGAUCCCUACGAGUUCACAAGGAUACUGUAUGAAGUCAGCUCUCCAGCAGGAAAGUUAUUGCCUGCACAUGCUACUGCACAGGAAUAGUGUAUCAGUCAACUUUCUGUGGAAGACUCUUUACCUACCUUGCUUACAUCAUUGUAAGUAAUGUCACACAUGCAUAAACACAAUCAAGGAAGCUAAAACAUCUUACUUUAUGAGAGAACCAGAUGAAGGACCUAAAGUAUGCCUGGUACAAUCAUUCAAGUUGAUCGACUCAAGAUAAUUUGGGCAGUGUGCCUUCAGAAUCACAGGAACAAGAAUAGGGACCUGAUACCUUAGUGUUCCCCUGACAGAAGAAUAAGUCAGCAGUAUAGCUAGAAAGCAACUGCAG